GAUGAACGCUGGCGGCGUGCCUAAUACAUGCAAGUCGAGCGAACAGAUAAGGAGCUUGCUCCUUUGACGUUAGCGGCGGACGGGUGAGUAACACGUGGGUAACCUACCUAUAAGACUGGGAUAACUUCGGGAAACCGGAGCUAAUACCGGAUAAUAUUUCGAACCGCAUGGUUCGAUAGUGAAAGAUGGUUUUGCUAUCACUUAUAGAUGGACCCGCGCCGUAUUAGCUAGUUGGUAAGGUAACGGCUUACCAAGGCUACGAUACGUAGCCGACCUGAGAGGGUGAUCGGCCACACUGGAACUGAGACACGGUCCAGACUCCUACGGGAGGCAGCAGUAGGGAAUCUUCCGCAAUGGGCGAAAGCCUGACGGAGCAACGCCGCGUGAGUGAUGAAGGUCUUCGGAUCGUAAAACUCUGUUAUUAGGGAAGAACAUACGUGUAAGUAACUGUGCACGUCUUGACGGUACCUAAUCAGAAAGCCACGGCUAACUACGUG
rnacentral:rRNA from 1 species